UACAGAGGUGGCAAGCGUUGUUCGGAAUUACUGGGCGUAAAGGGCGCGUAGGCGGCCCGUCAAGUCCCGUGUGAAAGCCCCCGGCUCAACCGGGGAACGGCGCGGGAAACUAGCAGGCUUGAGUUCGGGAGAGGGAAGCGGAAUUCCGGGUGUAGCGGUGAAAUGCGCAGAUAUCCGGAGGAACACCGGUGGCGAAGGCGGCUUCCUGGACCGGCAUUGACGCUGAGGAGCGAAAGCUAGGGGAGCAAACGGG
rnacentral:rRNA from 1 species